rnacentral:rRNA from 1 species
UACGUAGGGGGCGAGCGUUGUCCGGAUUUACUGGGCGUAAAGCGCGUGUAGGCGGCUUCUUAAGUCGGGUGUGAAAGCCCGGGGCUCAACCCCGGGAUGCCGCCCGAGACUGGGAGGCUUGAGGUCGGAAGAGGGGAGUGGAAUUCCAGGUGUAGCGGUGAAAUGCGCAGAUAUCAGGAGGAACACCGAUGGCGAAGGCAGGUCUCUGGGCCACUACUGACGCUGAGAAGCGAAAGCGUGGGGAGCGAACAGG